rnacentral:rRNA from 1 species
UACGGAGGUGGCGAGCGUUGUUCGGAAUCACUGGGCGUAAAGGGUGUGUAGGCGGCUGAUCGUGUUCGGUGUGAAAUCCCCCGGCUUACCCGAGGAACUGCAUCGAAAACUGGUCGGCUUGAGUGCAGGAGAGGAGAAUGGAAUUUCCGGUGUAGCGGUGAAAUGCGUAGAUAUCGGAAGGAACGCCAGUGGCGAAAGCGAUUCUCUGGCCUGUUACUGACGCUGAGGCACGAAAGCCAAGGGAGCAAACGGGAUUAGAUACCCCGGUAGUCUUGGCUGUAAACGAUGGGCACUACGUAGUGGGGACUCUGACGUUCUCACUGCCGGAGUUAACGUAUUAAGUGCCCCGCCUGGGGACUACGACCGCAAGGUUAAAACUCAAGGUAAUUGACGGGGGCUCACACAAGCGGUGGAGCAUGUUGCGUAAUCGAGGCAACGCGAAGAACCUUACCUGGGCUUGACAUGUACGGAUUAGGCCUGUGAAAGCAGGCUGACGCCCUUGAGGUGGAACGUGCACAGGUGUUGCAUGGCUGUCGUCAGCUCGUGCCGUGAGGUGUCGGGUUAAGUCCCACAACGAGCGAAACCCCUAUUCCUAGUUGCCAGCGAGUAAUGUUGGGGACUCUAGGGAGACUGCCAGUGUUAAACUGGAGGAAGGUGGGGAUGACGUCAAGUCAUCAUGGCCCUUAUGCCCAGGGCUGCAAACGUGCUACAAUGGCCGGUACAGAGGGAAGCGAAACUGCGAAGUCGAGCCAAUCCCUUAAAGCCGUCCCCAGUUCGGAUUGAAGGCUGCAACUCGCCUUCAUGAAGUUGGAAUCGCUAGUAAUCACGGAUCAGCAACGCCGUGGUGAAUAUGUUCCUGAGCCUUGUACACACCGCCCGUCAAGUCACCUGAAUGGACCGAACCCGAAGUCAUGAAGCCUUCGGGCCAGUGCCGAAGGUCCGGUUCGUAAGGGGGACU